UCCCUAUAGCUCAGACAGUAAAGAAUUUGCCUGCAAUGCAGGAGACCUAGGUUUGAUUCCUGGAUUGGGAA
rnacentral:tRNA from 1 species